rnacentral:rRNA from 1 species
AACCUCCGCAAUGUGAGAAAUCGCGACGGGGGGAUCCCAAGUGCCAUUCUUAACGGGAUGGCUUUUCUUAAGUGUAAAAAGCUUUUGGAAUAAGAGCUGGGCAAGACCGGUGCCAGCCGCCGCGGUAACACCGGCAGCUCUAGUGGUAGCUGUUUUUAUUGGGCCUAAAGCGUUCGUAGCCGGUUUGAUAAGUCACUGGUGAAAUCCUGUAGCUUAACUGUGGGAAUUGCUGGUGAUACUGUUGAACUUGAGGUCGGGAGAGGUUAGCGGUACUCCCAGGGUAGAGGUGAAAUUCUGUAAUCCUGGGAGGACCACCUGUGGCGAAGGCGGCUAACUGGAACGAACCUGACGGUGAGGGACGAAAGCUAGGGGCGCGAACCGGAUUAGAUACCCGGGUAGUCCUAGCCGUAAACGAUGCGGACUUGGUGUUGGGAUGGCUUUGAGCCGCUCCGGUGCCGAAGGAAGCUGUUAAGUCCGCCGCCUGGGAAGUACGGUCGCAAGACUGAAACUUAAAGGAAUU